AUUGAACGCUGGCGGCAUGCUUUACACAUGCAAGUCGAACGGUAACAGGCCGCAAGGUGCUGACGAGUGGCGAACGGGUGAGUAAUGCAUCGGAACGUGCCCAGUCGUGGGGGAUAACGCAGCGAAAGCUGCGCUAAUACCGCAUACGAUCUAUGGAUGAAAGCGGGGGACCGUAAGGCCUCGCGCGAUUGGAGCGGCCGAUGUCAGAUUAGGUAGUUGGUGGGGUAAAGGCUCACCAAGCCAACGAUCUGUAGCUGGUCUGAGAGGACGACCAGCCACACUGGGACUGAGACACGGCCCAGACUCCUACGGGAGGCAGCAGUGGGGAAUUUUGGACAAUGGGCGCAAGCCUGAUCCAGCAAUGCCGCGUGCAGGAAGAAGGCCUUCGGGUUGUAAACUGCUUUUGUACGGAACGAAACGGUCUGGGUUAAUACCCUGGGCUAAUGACGGUACCGUAAGAAUAAGCACCGGCCAACUACGUGCCAGCCGCCGCCGUAAGAC
rnacentral:rRNA from 1 species